rnacentral:rRNA from 1 species
GACAGAGGGGGCAAGCGUUGCUCGGAAUUACUGGGCGUAAAGGGCUCGUAGGCGGCCAACUAAGUCAGACGUGAAAUCCCUCGGCUUAACCGGGGAACUGCGUCUGAUACUGGAUGGCUUGAGUGUGGGAGAGGGAUGCGGAAUUCCAGGUGUAGCGGUGAAAUGCGUAGAUAUCUGGAGGAACACCGGUGGCGAAGGCGGCAUCCUGGACCACGACUGACGCUGAGUGAGCGAAAGCCAGGGGAGCAAACGGG